CGAAAAUCACAAACCCUCAGCCCAACCCACCCACUCCUCCUCCUUCCUCCUCCAGCCCCAGCCGCCACACACCUUUCCCCUCCAUAAUGGCAAUGUGAGCAGAGGAAGGAAGCUAAUAUGGUCGAAGAAGGCAAGAAGAAGCAAGGAGGAGAGAGAGAAGAGAAAAGAAAACAUGGAUGGAAUAAGAGAUCUAGGAGGGCACAAAGCACUCACCAGGCUGUUGUUGAUGCUUAUGGAGCUUCUCUGUUUGGUUCUCAGGGGGGCAAAAUAGCCAGCAGCAACAGUGUAUGAAUUCUGGUGCUUGGAACCAAGGGCUGCAUCAUACACACCCCUGGAUGCAAAAUCAGAUGCUUCCUCGUGCUUCUAUUAACAGAACACAAGGGAAUGCCCUGAACAUUCCAGUGAGUGCACCUAUGUAUGAUAUCUUCAAUAGUCAAGGCAAUACACAG